CCUCACAGCCCACUUAGCAGAGCUAGAGGCAGUAUAAAAGUUGCUUGGUUCUGUAGUCCAUCACUCGCUCAGAGUUGCGCUGUUGAACGUGUUAUCAGAACCAAGAAGGGGCCACUGCACAGAGAUGUGUUCCCGACAGAGCUCCGGAGGCUGCCACGAGUCAUCUUCCCAGUCCGGGGGAUGCUGCAGUGGGGGCAGCUCCUCCAGCUACCAGGCACAGGGCUCCUCCUGCUGCGGGGGCUCCUCGGGAUACAGCAUGGGAGGAGGAUACAGCGGUGGCAGUGGGGGAUCGAGCCAGAAGAUCAUCAUUAGCUCAGGAGGAGGAGGAGGAGGUUCGUCUGGAUGCUGUGGUGGAGGAUCCAGCAGUGGUGGGUCUUCAGGAGGCAAGAUAAUCAUUGGAGGAGGUGGAAGUAGUGGGGGAUCCUCUGGGUGCUGCAGUGGAGGCUCCUCGAGCUACGGCAUGGGAGGAGGAUACAGCAGUGGUGGUUACUCGGGAUCCAAGAGCAUCAUUGGAGGUGGGAGCAGUGGUGGAUCCUCCAGUUGCUGUGGUGGAGGAUCCAGCAGUGGUGGCUCUUCGGGAGGCAAGAUCAUCAUUGGAGGAGGUGGAAGCAGUGGUGGAUCCUCUGGGUGCUGCAGUGGAGGCUCCUCGGGCUACGGAAUAGGAGGAGGAUACAGCAGUGGUGGUUACUCGGGCUCCAAGAGCAUCAUUGGAGGAGGUGGAAGCAGUGGUGGAUCCUCUGGUUGCUGUGGUGGGGGAACCAGCAGUGGUGGCUCUUCAGGUGGCAAGAUCAUCAUUGGAGGAGGUGGAAGCAGUGGGGGAUCCUCUGGGUGCUGCAGUGGAGGCUCCUCGGGCUACGGAAUAGGAGGAGGAUACAGCAGUGGUGGUUACUCAGGCUCCAAGAGCAUCAUUGGAGGAGGUGGAAGCAGUGGUGGAUCCUCUGGUUGCUGUGGUGGGGGAUCCAGCAGUGGUGGCUCUUCAGGUGGCAAGAUCAUAAUUACAGGAGGUGGAAGCAGUGGGGGAUCCUCUGGGUGCUGCAGUGGAGGCUCCUCGGGCUACGGAAUAGGAGGAGGAUACAGCAGUGGUGGUUACUCAGGCUCCAAGAGCAUCAUUGGAGGAGGUGGAAGCAGUGGUGGAUCCUCUGGUUGCUGUGGUGGGGGAUCCAGCAGUGGUGGCUCUUCAGGUGGCAAGAUCAUAAUUACUGGAGGUGGAAGCAGUGGGGGAUCCUCUGGGUGCUGCAGUGGAGGCUCCUCGGGCUACGGAAUAGGAGGAGGAUACAGCAGUGGUGGUUACUCGGGAUCCAAGAGCAUCAUUGGAGGAGGUGGAAGCAGUGGGGGAUCCUCUGGGUGCUGCAGUGGAGGCUCCUCGGGCUACGGAAUAGGAGGAGGAUACAGCAGUGGUGGUUACUCGGGAUCCAAGAGCAUCAUUGGAGGAGGUGGAAGCAGUGGUGGAUCCUCUGGAUGCUGUGGUGGGGGAUCCAGCAGUGGUGGGUCUUCAGGAGGAAAGAUCAUAAUUACUGGAGGUGGGAGCAGUGGGGGAUCCUCUGGAUGCUGCAGUGGAGGCUCCUCGGGCUACGGCAUGGGAGGAGGAUACAGCAGUGGUGGUUACUCAGGCUCCAAGAGCAUCAUUGGAGGUGGAAGCAGUGGUGGAUCCUCUGGUUGCUGUGGUGGGGGAUCCAGCAGUGGUGGCUCUUCAGAAGGAAAGAUCAUCAUUACUGGAGGUGGGAGCAGUGGAGGAUCCUCUGGAUGCUGUAGUGGGGGAUCCAGCUAUGGAAUGGGUGGAGGAUCCAGUGGUGGUUAUUCAGGAUCCAAGAGCAUCAUUGGAGGUGGAAGCAGUGGAGGUUCCUCUGGAUGCUGCGGUGGUGGCUCUUCUGGCUAUGGCUCUUCUGGCUAUGGCUCUUCAGGCUAUGGCAGUGGGGGAUCAGGCCAGAAGAUCAUCAUUAGCUCUGGAGGUGGAGGAGGUGGCUCAUCUGGAUGCUGUGGUGGGGGAUCCAGCAGUGGUGGAUCUUCCGGAGGCAAGAUCAUCGUUGGAGGAGGUGGAAGCAGUGGGGGAUCCUCUGGAUGCUGCGGUGGGGGAUCCAGUGGGGGCAGUGGCGGUUCCUCGGGCCACACCAUCAUCAUCAGCUCCGGAGGAGGCAGUGGUGGGUACGGCCAGUCCUCGCAGCAGAAAUGCCCCAUUGUCAUUCCUCACAUCGAGAGCCACCAGACCAAGCAGGCCUGCUACUUUCCUGGCCAGCAGAAGUGACCGCCCCCGACAGCGCAGCACUCAGCAGGAACAGCCCUGCCUCUGUUUUCCAUGUUUGUCUGCUUCCCCACCAUGUGUCCUCUUCUCAAUCCUUGAUGCUCCAUUACUAUGCCAUGAACUCUGGGCUUAACAACGUUUUGCUCCGUGCUGGUGUUGUGAUUUCUUUGGUCAAAUUGUGCUCCAUUUUCAGUAAGGAUUUGUAGUACCUAAUAAAUAUCACGACAUCACAAUGUAGAUUUAUUUUUGAGUUUCUUUUUUUCUUGCUUUCUCACACAGCAUCUCAUCAUCUCAGAAGCAGGAAAUGUAUCUGAUAAGUUAGUUGACUCCCCCAUUGAGAUGUUCUGCAGUGCAUCAUCACAGCUCUAAAGCCAAUGCACCAUAGAGUCUAGAAGGCUGCUGCACCUUUUCUUUUCCUCUGGGCUCCAAAGUAGAGCAACAACACAUCCUAAAGCAUCAAACACCCACAGCUCCCAGCAUCCCCUUGACUCCUGUGUUGGUGGUGCCCUUUCACUGUCACCCCAGCUCAUGGCUCUGAUUCCUCUGAGGCAGCAGCACACAGUGUUGAUGCCCAUGGAGCAGCACAGAGCUGCUGGAUUGUGCAUCUGAGACUGUUGGGUUCCAACCUGAAGCUGUGGAAGCAGGAAAAGCCCGCAUUAACAGUUAUCACUGCCUAGAGUGGCUCAAUGCCAUGCCAAUGUCCAUGUCCUUGCUGUACACCUUCCCUCCCAGCUUUGCAAACCUCAGAGCAGCUCUGCCUGGUGGAAAGCCUCCCACGCUGGCUUGGCUGAAUGAGCCCUGGGCCAGCAGGAGGAAACAAAGCCAACAGCACAGCCCUUAGGCUGUGACAGCACACCACACUAUGCCUCCAGGUCUUAAUUCCUCCUUGUCCAUGUUUGGAAACCUGCUUUGAAAUGAAACACUCAAGGGCAG
ensembl:lncRNA